GACGAACGCUGGCGGCGUGCUUAACACAUGCAAGUCGAACGGAAAGGCCCUGCUUUUGUGGGGUGCUCGAGUGGCGAACGGGUGAGUAACACGUGAGUAACCUGCCCUUGACUUUGGGAUAACUUCAGGAAACUGGGGCUAAUACCGGAUAGGAGCUCCUGCUGCAUGGUGGGGGUUGGAAAGUUUCGGCGGUUGGGGAUGGAUUCGCGGCUUAUCAGCUUGUUGGUGGGGUAGUGGCUUACCAAGGCUGUGACGGGUAGCCGGCCUGAGAGGGUGACCGGCCACAUUGGGACUGAGAGAGGGCCCAGACGCCUACGGGAGGCAGCAGGGGGAAAUAUGGCACAAUGGGCGGAAGCCUGAGACAGAAGCGCCGCGUGCGGGAUAACGGCUUUCGGGGUGUAAACCGCUGUCGCCGGUGACAAAGCGGGAGUGACGGUAAUGGGUAAAGAAGCACCGGCUAACUACGUG
rnacentral:rRNA from 1 species